CACACAUCAAAUGUCUGCGGUACAAUUAAGAUAGUUAAACUGGCAGAUCAGGUGGAAAGCAUGGUGCAAAUUUGAAUUUUUGGAACAAUCAUUUGGUUGUAUAGUUUACUUGUAGUAGUUCAUAGAUUAUAAUAUGUCAAUUUUGAGGUAAGGUGACCACAUGGCAAGCAAGAUGUCAUGGAGCAAAUUUGAGGUAAGGUGACCACAUGGCAAGCAAGAUGUCAUGGAGCAAAUUUCAGUGGACAACCGACGAAGUAGAGUGCUAAUUGGGUGCGUACUCGAUCGAGCAUCCAGAGCUUCGCCUAGUUUCUUUCCCUAUCAGACAUCACUUCCCUUCUCCUUGGAGGCUGAAGGACCCCUUUGAAGGAACUAUCGAAUGUUAAGCUUCAUGGCAUUUUGGCAAGGCCAACAACAUUAACUUUUGGUUCAUUAACAGUACCUUAAACUGAUCUACAAAUGUGGUACAUAGAAUGAGUAAGUAGUGAGCUCGCCAGGUUAUGUGGCAUGAGUGGUGAGAUGAGAUGAUAUGAUCUCCAGGAAAAAAAAGUGAUGCCAAAAAAAUUCAGUUCAUUGGAGCUAAAUUUGAGAGAAAGAUGAAAUACUUGAGUAAAAAACUAAGCACAAAAUCUUCCCCUCAAUCUGCUUGGAUUUUGUCAAAGACAUAACAGGCAUAGAUAAAA